AGAAAAGGAUCUAAUAUUUGGUGUUAGAGGGAGUUUUGACUAUUAGGAUUUACCCUUCGAGGAUCCUCAUGGAAUUCAAACCAAACCUGGUAACCCAGUUCUCAUAUCAGUACUUCAGAAUGUAACUCUUUGGAGAUUGGGCCCUUAAAGGAGUAAUUAAUGAAGUCAUGUCUCUUAUCCAGUACGACUGGUGUUCUUAUAACAAGAGAUUAUGACACAGAAAACAUGCAGAGGAGUAAGCAUUCGAGGAUAUAAUGAGAAGGUGGACAUCUGCAACCCAAGGAAAGAAGUCUCAGAAGAAACCAAACCUGACAACAUUGCUCUUGUACUUCUCUCCUUCAGAAC